CAGGAAAUAGUUUAAUAAAAAUAUUAAUUUUGGAGAUUAAAGAUAUGGGUUUCUUUUUUCCUGA
rnacentral:tRNA from 1 species